UGGGGAAUAUUGGACAAUGGGCGAAAGCCUGAUCCAGCCAUGCCGCGUGUGUGAAGAAGGUCUUCGGAUUGUAAAGCACUUUAAGUUGGGAGGAAGGGCAUUAACCUAAUACGUUAGUGUUUUGACGUUACCGACAGAAUAAGCACCGGCUAACUCUGUGCCAGCAGCCGCGGUAAUACAGAGGGUGCAAGCGUUAAUCGGAAUUACUGGGCGUAAAGCGCGCGUAGGUGGUUUGUUAAGUUGGAUGUGAAAUCCCCGGGCUCAACCUGGGAACUGCAUUCAAAACUGACUGACUAGAGUAUGGUAGAGGGUGGUGGAAUUUCCUGUGUAGCGGUGAAAUGCGUAGAUAUAGGAAGGAACACCAGUGGCGAAGGCGACCACCUGGACUAAUACUGACACUGAGGUGCGAAAGCGCGGGGAGCAAACA
rnacentral:rRNA from 1 species